rnacentral:rRNA from 1 species
GUGGGGAAUUUUGGACAAUGGGCGCAAGCCUGAUCCAGCAAUGCCGCGUGCAGGAAGAAGGCCUUCGGGUUGUAAACUGCUUUUGUACGGAACGAAACGGUCCUGGCUAAUAUCCGGGGCUAAUGACGGUACCGUAAGAAUAAGCACCGGCUAACUACGUGCCAGCAGCCGCGGUAAUACGUAGGGUGCGAGCGUUAAUCGGAAUUACUGGGCGUAAAGCGUGCGCAGGCGGUGCUGUAAGACAGGCGUGAAAUCCCCGGGCUCAACCUGGGAAUUGCGCUUGUGACUGCAGUGCUGGAGUGCGGCAGAGGGGGAUGGAAUUCCGCGUGUAGCAGUGAAAUGCGUAGAUAUGCGGAGGAACACCGAUGGCGAAGGCAAUCCCCUGGGCCUGCACUGACGCUCAUGCACGAAAGCGUGGGGAGCAAACAGGAUUAGAAACCUCGGUAGUCC